UUUUGAAGGAGUUUACACAAAACAUUUACAUCUCCAAAACCUGACUGAACAAUAUUCUCUGGCAGAGUGUUUUCUAGUUCAAUGUUUGCAUCUACCAUUUUUCUUAUUGGACAUGAAUGCAGCAUUAUAUUAAUAAGGCAAUCCAAGCAGCGAGUGACAAGAUCAGCAAGACUCAAAUCCAUCAGCAGCAUUUUAUCACUGGGAAGAUUUUACAGGAAUAUUGUGUCUCACAAAGAAAUGAAAGAGCCAAAUGAACUGGAGGUGUACAGUUCUCCUUAAGGAGCGGACCAAGGACCAGUCCAGCACCCACCCGACCUCCCCAUACCAAAUAUCAAAUGGAGAAAAUAAAACUGAGUCGAGACCAGCAGCAACUUUAUGUAGUUGGAGCCGUAGAGCAGGCCCCAGCAGAGAACCUGAGAAACUUCAAGACAAUUGUUGAGGUGGAGAGAAAGGCAACACUACAUUCAUCCUCUCCACACCUUCCACCUUGGCUCACCUCAGCCCCAUCCACCCAUGACCAAGUACCACCAAGUAGUCUUUUUUUUCUUCAUAGCUGAUUUUUGUCUGGGAGGAGUGUUUUGAUGUACGCGUUUUACUGCUGCAUGUUGGGAGGGAGCCUUGGGUAGCUGGUGCAAAAUGGAUAAACUGACAUCUGUUGGCCCCCAGCCCUCACAAGGCCACGUGUGUUCCCAUACAUAAGGCAUGUACAUGAAUGAAGUUGUACAGAGUGAAUGUAGACUGCCCACUAUGUUAGUUAGUACUGUCUCCUCAUACGAGUGCUCUGCAUUCAGCUCACUAAAUAUACCUUAGAAAAC